rnacentral:rRNA from 1 species
GCAAGUCGAACGGAAAAACACCUAGUUUACUAAGUGUUUUUUAGUGGCGGACGGGUUAGUAACACGUGAGUAACAUGCCUUGAAGUGGGGGAUAGCCUUUCGAAAGAGAGAUUAAUACCGCAUGUGGUCUUCGGACCAAAGAUGCCUUCGGGUGUCGCUUUGAGAUUGGCUUGCGGCCUAUCAGCUAGAUGGUGAGGUAACGGCUCACCAUGGCAACGACGGGUAGCUGUUCUGAGAGGAAGAUC